rnacentral:rRNA from 1 species
ACGCACCGCAAGGUGAGUGGCGCACGGGUGAGUAACGCGUGGGAACCUGCCCUGGAGUGGGGGAUAACCCGGCGAAAGCCGGGCUAAUACCGCAUACGUCCUGAGGGAGAAAGAUUUAUCGCUCUAGGAGGGGCCCGCGUCGGAUUAGCUAGUUGGUGAGGUAACGGCUCACCAAGGCGACGAUCCGUAGCUGGUCUGAGAGGAUGAUCAGCCACACUGGGACUGAGACACGGCUCAGACUCCUACGGGAGGCAGCAGUGGGGAAUAUUGGACAAUGGGGGCAACCCUGAUCCAGCAAUGCCGCGUGAGUGAUGAAGGCCUUAGGGUUGUAAAGCUCUUUCGGCGGGGACGAUGAUGACGGUACCCGCAGAAGAAGCACCGGCCAACUACGUGCCAGCAGCCGCGGUGAUACGUAGGGUGCAAGCGUUGUCCGGAUUUAUUGGGCGUAAAGAGCUCGUAGGCGGUUUGAUAAGUCGGAUGUGAAACCCCCAGGCUUAACCUGGGGCAGCCAUCCGAUACUGUCAUGACUCGAGUCCGGUAGGGGACCAUGGAAUUCCUGGUGUAGCGGUGAAAUGCGCAGAUAUCAGGAGGAACACCAGCGGCGAAGGCGGUGGUCUGGGCCGGUACUGACGCUGAGGAGCGAAAGCGUGGGGAGCGAACAGGAUUAGAUACCCUGGUAGUCCACGCCGUAAACGUUGGGCACUAGGUGUGGGGCCUAUUCAACGGGUUCCGUGCCGCAGCUAACGCAUUAAGUGCCCCGCCUGGGGAGUACGGCCGCAAGGCUAAAACUCAAAGGAAUUGACGGGGGCCCGCACAAGCGGCGGAGCAUGUGGCUUAAUUCGAGGCAACGCGAAGAACCUUACCUGGGUUUGACAUGUANGGAAAAGCCGUAGAGAUACGGGUGUCCUUCGGGGUCCUACACAGGUGGUGCAUGGCUGUC